GUGCUCAUUUUGGGUACAUAUGCUAAAAUUGGAAUGAUACAGAGAAGAUUAGCAUAGUCAUUGCACAAGCAAGACAUGAAAUUUGUGAAGCUUUCCAUAUUUUU